GCAUUCGCGGCGAUUUAACAUAUAAUUAUGGCGUUUCGUACCGAUGCUAUCUUUAUUUUUAAUUUUUGAUAUAAUUUUUAGGUUUAGUUGGAAAAGGCAUCUUCUCGCAAAUUAGAACUCAUCGUUCAGAACUCCUCUCCGUCCAGCGCUUUGUCAGACCCCCUUCGCCAGCGACUCUCUCUCUUCUCUUCUCUCAUCUCACAGUCUAUCCUUUAUCUCCUAUUCUCUCCUUUCCUACUCCUCUUCUCGCUGAGGCCCUUAAUUCAAAAUACGGAAGGGAAUGGAGAAGCGUCUGGUCUACGAUGAAGCUCUCAUGGAGUUCGCAAAACUACGUCGCAGCUUUAAUGAUAUCAACUAUCAAAUUUAAAUAAAGUUCAACCAGGUCCUUUAUGUUUUUAUCUCCUUUUCUCUAUAUAUUGAUGUGGAUCUAGGGUUUUAUUUUUAGGUUGCUUUACUCUGUUAAUAUACUGUUAGAUGCUCAAAAUUUGUGUCUUAGCUUUCAUUUUUAAUUUUUUAAUCUAUCUUAAGGCACGAUUUGAUUUGUGAUCGAAACAUGGUUGACUGAAGAAAGCGUAUGGAGUAAAGUUCUUGUGGCCGUUUUCUGAUCAUAUUCUCCAGAAAUUGAUUUUGAAAAAUCAAUGCAUCUGCGGGCAGUGAUGCUCAAGUGAAGGAUGGUAUUUGGUGCAGACACUACCUAGAGACAUAUUCAUUUGGCUUUCAUUUGAGCUUUCUUUAUAUUUUUGUUAUUUUCCUUAGAAUUUUUCGUUUUAUUUGUAAAGUUAGGCUCGUAACCUCUUUUUGGUUUUGUUUUGGUGUUGGCAAUAAGCCCUUGGUUUUCUUAAUGUCACGGUUCUUUCCAAGAGUAGGAUGUUGUGCGAACCGAGUGGCUAUGCCCAAUGAUAGAUAGCGUGACAACUUUAUUAAGAUUUGAGUCAGUUUUUGAUUUUUCUUUUUUGUUUUCAAGUUUUUGUAGUUAAGGGUACCUC
rnacentral:lncRNA from 1 species